rnacentral:lncRNA from 1 species
UGGGAAUGAAGUUUAAUCUUCCCGGGGGAAUGUUUGCAUUUUAAAAGAGGACCUUGUUAACCCAAAUGAUUCUCUAAUUGCUUUGCCUCAGCACGCUAAGGACUAUGGGACCUUUCCAUCUGAUGUGCAGCUGAAACUUCCUAUUUGUUUUCAAAUGUGAGCUCUGUGGGAGCAGAAACUGUUUGCCCUCUUUGAUUUGGAUCCACAGCUUUGCACAUUGCUCACACUUAAUAAAUAUAUUUUUAAUUAAUUCAUUUAUUCUAGUUGCUGGAAAGAGGGAGUUCUUUGUGAGCAGGGUCAAGAUACAUGUAGUUCACCUCACCUACCAUCAACAAGUUAAAAAUGUGGAGGCCACUCGGUAGUCAGGAAUCAUCCACCCCUUGCUGCUAAUUCACUUUUGCAAGGGGAACGCGCAAGGCUCAGGAAAAACAGUCAGGGGCCGGAAACCUCAAUCCUCAGUAGGGAGGGCCUCCGGCUGUUUACUAAGUCUGAGGGAAUGGACUAGUGAGGAGCAAAGGCAAGAGCCGGCCGGUGGUCCGUGAGCUACCUGCGAGCAGCAAACAGACAGUGUACAUGUCUGUUAUGAGGCGGGGAGGAGUCUUUGAGAGGAGACCUGCUCUUAAUAUUCGGAUACUCUUCAAAAUUACCAGUGUGAAUGGAAAGGAAGGAAUUUGCAUGAGAGAAGUUGCCAAGGUACAAUUGAUAGGAUUUUGCAUCUGAUUGGAUGGGGUUGGUUAAGGGGAUAGCAGUGGGGUGGGGAGG